rnacentral:pre_miRNA from 1 species
AGUGGAAUGUCUGGGUCAUAUGUUAAACUUUUUAAGAAAUUACCAAACAGCUUUUUCAAAGUGAUUGUACCAUUUAACAUUCCCACCAGUAAU